UACGAAGGGGGCUAGCGUUGCUCGGAAUUACUGGGCGUAAAGCGCACGUAGGCGGCUUUCUAAGUCGGGGGUGAAAUCCUGGAGCUCAACUCCAGAACUGCCUUCGAUACUGGAGAGCUCGAGUCCGGGAGAGGUGAGUGGAACUGCGAGUGUAGAGGUGAAAUUCGUAGAUAUUCGCAAGAACACCAGUGGCGAAGGCGGUGCUCUGGGCCGGUACUGACGCUGAGGAGCGAAAGCGUGGGUAGCAAACAGG
rnacentral:rRNA from 1 species